GCCUUAGGAAGAUUCUCUGGGUCCCUCCAAAAUGGCCCAGGCCCUUCUCUUCCUCCUCCUCCAGUCCAUUGGUCUCAGUGUCCAGCAGCUACAGCCCUUGAAACCCUCAGAGACUGUGCCUCAAGGUGGGACCGUCACCUUGUCUUGCAGACUCAGUAGUGGAACCAUUGCUGAUGGCAACUACCCCCAGUGGUUCCAGCAGAAAGAGGGGAACACUCCACUGCUGAUGAUGCACCAGACCAACAGGAGGCCUUCUGACAUCCCAGCCCGUUUCUCUGGGUCUAAGUCAGGGAGCACCAUGUCCCUGACCAUCACAGGGGCCAGGGCGGAAGAUGAAGCUACCUAUUUCUGUUGCAUGCUGAAUCCAGGAGUGUCUUGCACAGCCGUUCAUUCAGAUGGGGAAAGGGUAUCUGGGGAAUAUCUGGCGUCAACGUUUACAGAGCAGAAUUCGAAGAUGAAUUACCGGGCUCACGUUCAUCCUUCCUCCAUCAUGCUUGGCUUUAAGUGGUGCCCUGGGCUGAUCGCAGCCAGGGACAGGAGACUGGGACCUUGA